rnacentral:rRNA from 1 species
CCAGCAGCCGCGGUAAUACGGAGGGUGCAAGCGUUGUUCGGAAUUAUUGGGCGUAAAGCGCGCGUAGGCGGCCUAUUAAGUGUAGAGUGAAAUCUCCAACGCUCAACGUGGAAAUUGCUCUGCAUACUGGUAGGCUAGAGGGACGUAGAGGUAACUGGAAUUCCCGGUGUAGCGGUGACAUGCAUUGAUAUCGGGAGGAACACCCAUGGCGAAGGCAGGUUACUGGACGUCUCCUGACGCUGAGGUGCGAAAGCGUGGGUAGCAAACAGGAUUAGAUACCCUGGUAGUCCACGCCCUAAACGAUGGAUACUAGGCGUAAGAGGUAUCGACCCCUCUUGUGCCGUAGCUAACGUGUUAAGUAUCCCGCCUGGGGAUACGGCCGCAAGGUUGAAACUCAAAUGAAUUGACGGGGACCCGCACAAGCGGUGGAGCAUGUGGAUUAAUUCGAUACUAACCGAAGAACCUUACCCAGGUUUGACAUCAAGAGAUCGGCUAUGAAAG